rnacentral:rRNA from 1 species
CGCGUAGGCGGGUGCUCAAGUCCGGGGUGAAAUCCUCCAGCUCAACUGGAGAACUGCCUCGGAUACUGGGUGUCUCGAGGGUGGUAGGGGUAUGCGGAACUAUCGGUGGAGCGGUGAAAUGCGUUGAUAUCGAUAGGAACUCCGGUGGCGAAGGCGGCAUACUGGACCACCUCUGACGCUGAGGCGAGAAAGCGUAGGGGAAACAAACG